GAUUAAUUUCCAUUUAUUAGUGUUCUUUUUAAUUUCUCUUGAGAGUGUCUUGUAAUUUUCAGGGUAUCGGUCUUUCACUUCCUUGAUUAGGUUUAUUCCUAGAUAUUUUAUUCUUUUUGAUGCAGUUGUGAAUGGAAAUGUUUUCCUGAAUACUGUUUCUGCUGGUUCAUCAUUAGUGUACAGGAAUGCAACAGAUUCUUGUGUAUUCAUUUUGUAUCCUGUAACUUUGCUGAAUUCAGAUACUAGUUCUAGUAGUUUUGGAGUAGAUUCUUCAAUGUUUUUUAUAUACGACAUCAUGUCAUCUGGAAAAAGUGACAGUUUGACUUCUUCCUUACCAAUCUGGAUGCCUUGUAUUUCUUUGUGUUAUCUGAUUGCUGUGGCUAGGACCUUCAAUCCUAUGUUGAAUAAAAGCGGGGAGAGUGGGCAUCCUUGGCUUGUUCCCAACCUUAGGGGAAAAGCUUUCAGAUUCUCGCUGUUAAGUAUAAUGUUGGCUGUGGGUUUGUCAUAUAUGGCCUUCAUUAUGUUGAGGUACUUGCCCUCUAUACCCAUUUUGUUGAGAGCUUUUAUCAUGAUGGCUGCUGAACUUUGUCGAAUGCUUUUACAGCAUCUAUGGAGAUGAUCAUAUGGUGUUUAUCCUUCUUUUUGUUGAUGUGGUAUAUGGUGAUGAUGGAUUUUCGAAUGUUGUACCAUCCUUGCAUCCCUGAGAUGAAUCCCACUUGGUCAUGGUGUAUGAUCCUUUUGAUGUAUUUUUGAGUUCUAUUUGCAGAUAUUUUGUUGAGUAUUUUUGCAUCUAUGUUCAUCAGGGAUAUUGGUCUGUAGUUUUCUCUUUUUGUAGCGUCUUUGCUUGAUUUUGGUACUUGAGUGAUGCUGGCUUUAUAGAAUGAGUUUGGGAGUGUUCCCUCCUCUUCUGUUUUUUGGAGAACUUUAAGGAGAAUGGGUAUUAUGUCUUCUCUAAAUGUCUCACAGAAUGCAGCAGUCAAUCUAUCUGGUCCAGGUGGAUUUUGUAUUUGGAUAGUUUUUUGAUUACCAAUUCAAUUUUGUUGCUGUUGAUUGGUCUGUUUCGAUUUUAUGUUUCUUCCUUGGUCAGUCUUGGAAGAUUGUAUUUUUCUCGAAGUUGUCCAAGUCUUCUAGUUUACCCAGUUUCUUAGCAUAUUGAUUUUCGUAGUAUUCUCUAAUAAACCUUGUAUUUCUGUUGUGUCCAUAGUGAUUUUUUUCCUUUCUCAUUUCUGAUACUGUUGAUGUGUAUAGAUUCUCUUUUCCUCUUAAUAAGUCUGGCUAGGGGUUUAUCUAUUUUGUCUGUUUUCUCAAAGAACCAGCUCUUGGUUUCAUUAAUUUUUUUCUAUUUUAUUCUUCUCAAUUUUAUUUAUUUAUUCUCUUGUCUUUAUUAUUUCCCUCCUUCUGCUGACUUGGGGCCUCAUUUGUUCUUCUUUUUCCAGUUUCAAUGAUUGUGAAAUUAGACUAUUCAUUUGGGAUUGUUCUUCCUUCUUUAAAUAGGCCUGGAGUACUGUAUACUUUCCUCUUAGAACUGCUUCGCUGUGUCCCACAGAAGUUGGGUCGUUGUGCUGUUUUCAUUUGUCUCCAUAUAUUGCUUGAUCUCUGUUUCAGUUUGGUCAUUGAUCCAUUGAUUAUUUAGGAGCAUGUUGUUAAGCCUCGAUGUGUUUGUGUGCCUUUUUUGUUUUCUUUGUACAAUUUAUUUCUAGUUUUAUACCUUUGUGAUCUGAGAAGUUGGUUGGUAGAAUAUCAAUCUUUUUGAAUUUACUGAGUCUCUUUUUGUGGCCUAGUAUGUGGUCUAUUCUGGAAAAUGUUCCAUGUGCCCUUGAGAAAAAUGUGUAUCCUGCAGCUUUUGGGUGUAGAGUUCUGUAGAUGUCUGUUAGAUCCAUCAGUUCUAGGAUGUUGUUCAGUGCCUCUGUGUCCUUACUUAUUUUCUGCCUGGUUGAUCUGUCCUUUGGAGUGAGUGCUGUGUUGAAGUCUCCUAAAAUGAGUGCAUUGCAUUCUAUUUCCCCCUUGUAUCUGUUUCAUGUAUGUAGGUGCUCCUGUGUUGGGUGCAUAGAUAAUUAUAAUGGUUAUAUCCUCUUGUUCUACUGACCCCUUUAUCAUUAUGGAAUGUCGUUAUUCUCUCUCUUGUUAUAACUUUCUUUGUUUUGAAGUCUAUUUUGUCUGAUACAAGUACUGCAACUCCUUUUUUUUCUCCCUAUUGUUUGCAUGAAAUAUGUUUAUCCAUCCCUUCACUUUUAGUCUGUGUAUGUCUUUGGGUUUGAAGUGAGUCUCUUGUAGGCAGCAUAUAUCUGGGUCUUGCUUUUUUAUCCACUCUAACUCUGUGUCUUUUGGUUGGUGCAUUCAGUCCAUUAACAUUUAGAGUGAUUAUCCGUAGUUAUGUACUUAACUACCUUUGCAGGCUUUGGAUUCGUGGUUACCAAAGGGUCAAGGGCAGCAGUGCCUGCAGUGCCUGCCGCACGUCACUAGGGGGCGAAGCGGCGCAGGAAGCCGCCCCGGGCUCGCGGGCUCUGCGCGAAAGUCCAAGCGGGCGGCCUGGCGCGUUAGAAAACUGGCGAGGCGGUGGGGGCGGGGCGCGGGGCCGCGAGCCUCCUCCCCUCGGCCAAUCAGCGACCGCGGCGGGCGCCUGUGUGCAGCGCGCGCCCUGUGCGGGGCACUUAUCCUCUGCGCCGGGCGGGGAGGACGGCAGAAGCGGCGUCUCCUCUGUUCCAGUCGGACUCCUCGGGAGGCGCGGCGCGGCCCGGGCGCCCUGGCUGCGGGGCUGCUGAAGGCGGUCUGACGGAAUUUCCCUGCUGACAACUUCGCCGCCGCCUCCGCCCUGUCCCGCGAGGGCAGCCGCCCGAUAUCGGGCCUCCCCUCGAGCGCGUGAGGACUUGGGGCCGGAGGCAGGCGACGGCCGCCCCUCAGUAUGGCCCGCGGGGGUCCCCGCCUGGCCCCGAGCGGCGGCGGCGCGGCGGGCGACCGACUCCAAAGUUGAGCGCAGGCCGGUGGCGCUGGUGGUGGCCGCUCAUGACGCUCCAGCUGCACUUGCUCCAGGUGCUGGUUCAAGGCGGACUCCUCAGGAGCCUCGGCGCGGCCCUGGCACUGGCUGCGGGGCCGCCGAAGGCGUUCUGACGGAAAUUUCCCUGCUUACAACUUCGCCGCCGCCGCUGCGCUCCUGGAGGCCCGCCGCUGCCUGAUAACGGGCCGCUAUGCUGCACCGUAGUGCCCGAGAGCCCGGCCAAAGUUGAGCGCAGGCCGGCGGCGCGAGUGGUGGCCGCUCCGGACGCUCCAGCUGCACUUGCUCCAGGCGCUGGUUCAAGGGGCUCCACGGCCUGGGCAAAGCACCGGAAGCGCUCAUCAGGCUCCAGGUCAUACACCUUGGCCAGCUUCCUCUGCAUGGUGAUCUCACUUUGGAUGACAGGGAACUGGGGCAGAGAAAGAACAGGGUACAGAGAAGGAGGUGUUUGUCUAUGGAAUCGUCCAGGAUCAGUCCAAGUUCCCUGUCCUGCUGAGGCCACAGCACCUCCCAGGACCUGCCCAACAUCCCAACCUGCACAGGGAGGGUCACGCCAGACAUUUCUCCCUAAGGACAUCCCCAGGGAUACAUGGAUGACACCUCCAGCUCCUGGGGACUGGCGUCACAUGUGUCUGACACACAGACUCAGAGAUGGAAGAAUGCCAACCAGGCUUGGCAUGGAGCAUGGAACACCACGCAGGUCAGGCCGGGGUCCAGGCCGUGUGAUCUUGGGCAAGUCAGUCCCCUUCUAGGCCGUUUUCAGGUGUGCACCUUGAAGGGGCAGCAAUGAGAGGAGAUCCAGGUGUUGCCAUCUACUGCCUUCCACCUUCCACAGGUCCAGGCUGCUCUCAAAUCUGAAAUCCGCACCAGGCGUGUGUGUGUGUUUGGGGUGGUGGUGCAGAUACAGCAUCUUAUUCUUCACCUUAGAAGGGAUAGCUUGGCAUGCCCACAAGAUAGAUUUCUAGUAACUUCUCUAAGAUGAAAGGUCCCUCAAUUUUUGUUGGAUUUAGUCCACCUUCUGACAUGUGACUGCGCUGUCAAUAUGCCUAGAUGAGCUGUACUUCCUGAUCACUGGGUCCAGUCAGCCUAGUACCAUCAAUGGGAUGGGCCAGUGUGACGGCUUCUGGAAGAAAAAGGAGAUGAAGCUUCCUUCUGUCUAAAUGACAACCCAAGUCUGGAGGUCUGAUAUGCCUCUGAGAUAGUUUUCUCUCCUUGCCGGCUGAAAGCUAACUGCCCUGCUGGUCUUUACUCACAGGAAGAGAACAAAGAGCAUUUUCCUGACCAAUACUUACACACUGGGUGCUUGGGGACCAAGUGAUGAAGCCCCAUGUGCAGCAGGAACUGCAGUUUGAGACACUCUGAUUACACUGACAAUCAUUCACUGUCAUCUCCAAGAUUCGUCUGUUUUCUAAGUAGGCUAAAUGAGUGACUUCAAUAAGGUUCCCGGGGACUGGAUGCUUGGGGUUGAACAAAAUCAGCUUUCAGCUUUAACUCUGACCCUCAGACUAGGAAAAUCUGAAGAACAAGAAGAAACUGCCACCCCAUCCACCUCUGCCCAUUAGUGGACAAAGUUUCUGGGGCUGUUUGAGUUCACUUUCUAGUAAAUGUUAGUGUUCAGUUUUGAACAAAGAUUUGAUUCCCCUUUUCUUCUAUUACAAAUUCAUUUCUUACUGUUACAUUCCUUAACAGCAGCCCAAAAACUGAUCAUGAAAUGCCUUGAGGGAGAGUUUCUGACUAUUACCUGAAGAUAGGCACAAGUUGAAAAACACAGCUCUAAGCGUUUCUUGGAAUAUCAGUGCUGGCUGAUAAGACAGGAACUGCCAUCUGCGGUUCAGAUUUCCAGUGGACUUGGCUUAUGUGUUCAAAUUCUGCAAAUGUUGCUGUUAGAAUCAGCAAGGGGCUGUCUCCUUGCAAGUGCUUGGAGCUGACAGCCUUGCAUUUAAUACUCGCAUGCAGAAUUUUCUCAAGAGCCCCUCCCCCACUUCUAGCACAUGAAGAAGUUGGGGAAAUGAGAAGAGGGGGCCCACAGAUGCCUUUAUGUCCAGACCCACUGCCCCACUCCCUCCACAGAGGCCUCAGGAGCCAAGGGGGCAGUGCUUGCAAGCCUAGGGCCUCCACUUUGCCUUCCAGGCUGCUCCCCCUGCUGCUGCUGCUGCUGCUGUUGCUAAGCUUGUUAGCACUUUCAGAAACUUAGGAGAGAAACACAAGCGCAACUUGGGCCUCACUGAGGUUUCGGUUCAGUGAACAGGUGAGCCUACAGCUCCCAGGAGUCAGCCUGACCUGGCCCUGCCCCUGCCAGUCCUUCAGUUCUAUCUGUGCUGUGAGUACCAGCGCUGGCCCUUCCUGCUGGGAACCUGUUAGCCGAUGCCGUUGCUGAGUGCCUCCUGCCUUGUGCAGCCGGCCGGGUAUGCAGCUGCCCCCAUGCUGCCCCCUCUCCACACAAUACCCUGGGACUCUGAUACUACGUUCAUGUCUUCUCUCAUUCAAGUUUUUAAUUUUAGCCAUUCUCAUGUGCAUUGUCUAUGUUUUCCACCUACAUUUCACUUCCAUGUCCCUCAUGAGUCAUUAAGAAAAAAAAAAGUCGAGCCACACAUGGACUUGGAGCAAAUUCUUGCAAGUCAUACCUCAACAAAGGACUUGUAUUUACAGUAUAUAAAGACCUGCUACAGCCCAAUGGCAAGAAGACAAGUAACCGUUCCUUGUUCCCCUGGAAACAGGAGGAAAGGCAAGUGAGGUGUCCCAGGAGUCCCACCAGUUAGGUGAGGGAGAUGGCCCCCAUCACCAGCCAUUGUCAAACUUGACCUCCAUUGCUGCCCAGCCCUGGCCAUCCUUCCCUGGACUCCCAAAGUGUCCCCAGCCCUGACCCCACAUCCUGUCCCCAGCCUGCAGCACAAAAGGGUGGCGUCCUACUCUGAUGUAAACCUUUGUGUGGCCUUACCACUCUCAGACUAAGGGCCAAAGCUGCCUCCCCCUGGAAAACCGUGUGGUUUAACCCAGCCACUCUCCUCUUGGCCACAACAGAGGAGACUCCAGGAGCUCAGCCCUCUUAGGUUCUGGGUGGGCCUUCUUCACCGGUGUCCCAGUGCCCAGGACAGUGUCUACAAUGUGGUGGGUUUUGAUAAACUUGAUAUGUCAAAACCAUUAGCUCUCCUGCCUAAACCAGGAUGGGGCACUGGGGGAAGUUCAAGAGACUCUGUCAAGUUCCACAUAAUGGACGGCUACCCCUCAGCUUGGCAACCUGCUAUAUAGCCCUAUACCGUCCCUUAGCUGGAAGGGCCUGGGUCUCUGACACCAGUUCCCCGAAGGGAUUACUUACGAAAGUGACUCCAGGGGGCUGUUGCCUGGGGAAGAUGCUCAAGGUGGCGCUGUGAUGUGGUGAGGACCAGGGCGGGUGAGCCCACUGCCUCCAUGUGCUGACCGACAGCCUGAGCCCAAAGGCCCCAUCCUUCCCGGGCCUCUGCAUGGGAAGAUUCCUGGGGAACAGCCACACACAACUUCCUAGAGCUGAACCUGGCCAGCUGAGCCUAGAGGGCAGUCACUUUUCACCAGUGCUGAGCACACACGGACAGGUGGAGGCAGAGCGUCUGGCCAUCCACGUCCCUGUACACUCUGGAUUCUCUUCCCAGGCCCAGCACCCUCCUGGCGACCCAGGUGUGCCUGCUUCCGGGAGCGCCUUCCUUAUACACUGGAGGGCGGGACCAGGCCAGGUGGGGUGGGGCUCCAUUCCCCAGAGUUUCUGUGUUGGGAAGGGGACAGAGGUCGGGCCAGGGCCUCCCGUCCUCCUGUGGCCAGUGGGUGGGAACCCGCUUUCCGACGAACAGCUGUUCCGAUCCGUGUAUGGCUUGUUAGAGGUAAAACUUAUUUUUUCUAGGUAUUGGAAGAGCCUUUUGCCAUAUAUAUUAUAUACAUACAUCCUCCGUCGGACCUGGAGAUGGGGCUGAGGGAAGCGGGCAGUGAAUGGGAUUUUUUUUUUUCCUGUCAGAAAACGUGACAGGACAUGCUUAAAUAUAGCAUUACCUGGCAAAAAAAUAUCAUCCUUCCGUCCGGAUUCUACCUUUUUCGGUGAAUGGAUGUCAGCCAGAGGGGAGGAAGGGUCUCCGGUUUCGGGUUCCCACCCAGCGCCUGCAGGCAUCCUCCCCUCCGCGCACAGCCUCAAGGGCCCCCCUGGGCUUCCCGACACUAAAGCGGCCUCGUCCCGUGGGGGCAUCAGGCUUAGACCCUCUGUGCCUGCUGCUUUCAAGUCAAGGCGGAAGACUUGGGUGUGGAGUUCACGUGGCCACUAGGAGUUUGUGGCUACUCGGAAAGCGCGUGUCUCCGCAGCCCAGGAUCACCCCCGACAAAAGCCGAUUGUGCCAAGGCAUUCCUCAAAUGAAAAGGGAAAUUAAUGAUUCCUUCUGUUAGAAUCCCUUUCCAUCCUAAAAACGGCAUUUUUGCAUACUUAUUCGUACAUUUCCUUAAUAGCCCUCGCAUAGAGAUGUGUACAGGUGCGAGGAGAGCAGUGAUUGUCCAAACCCUUAAAGAGCCCAACAGUGGCUCCUGCACUCAGACUCUUAGUAAUCACUCCUGGCUGGUGCUGGGGUGACUGUGACAGUGGUGACAGCGUUCACACGAAUAGCAUGUUCAACAGCAUGGGUCCUCUGAGACCUCUGGCAAUUUUAUGUAUCACCUCACUUUGCCACUCGCCACAUUUUGCCUUGUGUUGUAGUUAUUUCUAAACAAAUGCUUGAGUAGGAGGAUUGUGUUUACUUAUUUCCAUUUACUCCAUGAGGGAGAGCACUAGGUUCAUGUAUAUUAAUUAGUAAGUGCUUUAGGGUAUGUAUGUAAUUGAAAAUCUGUACACCUGAAACUCAUGUAUCAACUAUAUCUCGAUUUUAAAACAAGAAAGAAAUUGGUGGUAAUGGUUGUUCAGUAACUGCUUUUCUUAGAACCAUAUAGAAGUGCUUGGCCGUGGCCAAGAAUGUUUGACCACCUUGGUGCAAACUGCCUAGCUUAUUGCAGUAAUUUCCUAACUGGUUCCACCAAGUCUUUUCUUGCCACUCUUGAACAGAAUUUCUU